UACACACCGCCCGUCGCUACUACCGAUUGAAUGGCUCAGUGAGGCCUUCGGACUGGCUUGGGGAGGUUGGCAACGACCACCCUAAGCCGGAAAGUUCGUCAAACUCGGUCAUUUAGAGGAAGUAAAAGUCGUAACAAGGUUUCCGUAGGUGAACUGCGGAAGG
rnacentral:rRNA from 1 species